UACGAAGGGUGCAAACGUUGCUCGGAAUCAUUGGGCGUAAAGCGCACGUAGGCGGCUUUGCAAGUCGGAUGUGAAAUCCCUCGGCUCAACCAAGGAAGUGCAUCCGAAACUGCAGAGCUUGAGUACUUAAGAGGAUCGCGGAAUUCCCGGUGUAGAGGUGAAAUUCGUAGAUAUCGGGAGGAACACCAGUGGCGAAGGCGGCGAUCUGGGAAGAUACUGACGCUGAGGAGCGAAAGCGUGGGGAGCGAACAGG
rnacentral:rRNA from 1 species